rnacentral:lncRNA from 1 species
AGGGCAACCAGAACGAGAAAACGGAUGAUCAUUAUUGGUCCAACUGCUUUGUCCUUUGUGUGAGCCCAAGGAUAUUGAAGACCAGCUCACCAAGUUGGCAACAGGAAAGAUCAACAGUAAAAACCAGUACUAAUCUCCAUAGCAGAGGAGUGGUGACUAACAGCACAAAUCUGUAACUUAGCAAACUCACUUAGAAAAGCUGAAUGUGAAUGAUCACAGCUCUUAUACACUGCAGUUUUUACCUAGUUUUUGAAGACCAGUUCAUCAAGAGAGACCUAGGUCAGGGGCAAAAGACUUUGUUGCUAACAGGAGCAAACAGCUGGAGCAUUAGCAUAUUUGAUGUCCUAUCUCCUCACUCUUCCUGGGUCACCAGGUGAUACCUGCAUAUGCAGUAAGCUGUGUUGCAGGAUAGAAAUCCUGCACUUAGGGGACCUGAAGAUUUCAUACAGGACAAGAAGCAUGCAGGCCCAUUGUCUGAGACAGAGACUCUAUCUUCCAUGACUGUUCACAACACAAACAUCCCCCAUGACUGCUUACUAUGCAAACAUCCUUGCAAAGGUAGUUUGGAACAAAAGCAGUUGAUGAGUCUACUUGCAAGAUAUGCAGAAAAGUGAGAGACAACAAUAUACCCCACUGAUUUUAAGAAAAUCAGUCAAUUGUGCACAACACACUUUAAAAUUUUCUUCUUUUCAAGAUUACACCUUGCCUGGAAGAAACUCUGCCACAACAAGUUGCCACAUGGCAAAUUCUCAAUUUGGCAUGCCCUUGGGACUGUUAGCUACAUAUAUCAGGGCAUUGUGUCUUUUCUGAGACAGCCCCUGUGAGCAAGUAUUGCCAAAGUUCUUCAGCUACAGUCAUUAUAGCCGAACAACUUCUCCUUGUUUAUUAUUUUCUUUCAUAUACUCUGCUUCAUAUUCUGUAGGACUGAAGGCAUUUGAUCCUAAAUAAGUAGAUCUAGCUAUCUGGUUACCCAGUGUUCUGGGGUAGAGCCUGAGAUGAGGAAGAAGAGAUUGCUGGAAAGGGCGUCUGACACAAUGGCCAAAUCAUAAACCAUAACUCCAUUAUGUCCUAUUUUCAUAUUGAAUAGGCAAUGAAAUUGUAUUACCUGUCUCUACAAUGGAAAGAAAAAUCAAUAUUUGCUGUUUUUUCAUUUAAUGAAUGUUCUUCUUGAUCCUCCCUGCUGAUGCUACCCCCAACACUUUACAUUAGCAUGAUAGGAAACAGUGGAAAUUGUGAGAUGGGCCUGGGUCUUUAGAAGGUGAUUUCUCAUAUCAGUCAGUGAAUAUAGUUUUUAAACCAGUCAUUUGUCAUUAUGGCUAAAAAAAAAGUGCAUCAUCAGGUUAAAGCAACAUUAUGUUAUUGAACAAAGAUUUCUUCUACCACCUCCAAGGUUUCUGGGAGUUGUAGUUAAGCAUGUAUUGUGUAAUGGAAAAAGUGCUAGAUCUGGAAUUCACUUCAGCUCUGCAUGAAUUACUUACAUGGUCUUGAUUAAGCCACUUAAUGUCUCUGACUGGCAGAUGUUGAUAUUUUAAAUAAGGGAAAUAAUCUUUGUUCUGUUAACCUCACAAAUUCAUGAUGAUUGUUAAAAUGAACAAUAACCUUCUUAUAUACAUAAGAAGGUGCUUUGGUAAUCAAGUCAGAUAUAAUUGUAAAAUGGUAUUACAAUUACAGUCAUAUUUAAACAAAGUAGGACCUUUUCUUAAUAUUGAUAUUGAGGAACAGGUUUAAUAUGUCCUCAAAUUUCAGUCUUUUGCAACAUAGGAAGCAUAAUCUGAUCCAUAAAAGACAAAAUCCAUGUAAGAAUGAGUAGCAUUCUAGAGUAUGCUAGGAGAAUCUAAGUAACAACUGGACAAUGUUGCUCUCACUUUUCAAUAACAUGUUUUUCUUAGUUGCAUAAUCCCCAAAUGUAACCAAGAGUGGUGACUGAAUAGUCUUCAAAUUUCCUGGAAUGUCCUCUGCAGUCUCUUCAUCUGAACCUUCUGAGAUAAUAUCACCCCUCAGUUUAUGACUCUAAUCAUAACACUAAUGUUUUUUCUUUUUAACAAUUGGAAAAGCUUAAUAGGAAUCAACAAAUAUACUUGGGGUGGGUUGUAGAAAAAAGGGCUUUGUCUCUCUACAUGCAACUAGAACAAUUCAUGGAAACCAUGACCUGCAAAGCAACCUACAAUAUCUGCUGUUGUUUUAAACUUAAAGAUAAAACAUACAUCCACAGUUGAUUCCUUGGAUUCUAGUAACUAACACGGAGAAUUGGUACUAUAUACACAAGUACUGAUUUUUAAAAAGUAAUUAAUUCACCACUUACUUAUGUAAGUUCUCAUCUUGAAACUAGUGAUGGCUGACACAGACAUAUUUCUAGGACCAAAACUGAAAGCAGGUAGAUGCCGUGGUUGUGUAACUAAGAAUAUCAAAUCUGCUUGAGUUGAAGAUGUGUUGAGGUUGCUGAGAUUUGGUUCAUUGAACAACUGGGUGAAGUAAAUAUAGUUUAGAUAUGACUUCACACUUGGAAUUUCUUUCAGCAGCUCAAUGGGUGCUGUGUGUGUGUGUGUGUGUGUGUGUGUGCUACAUGCCUAUUUUAUAACUCAGGUGUUAGUUCUUUCCUUGGACACCAGGAACCAGUGGUCUCACUAGAAUGGUAUUAACUAAAUUUGAGGGAACAAGUGAGAAUGAUACAGAAGGUAAAAGGAAGCUCAGUGAAGCAAAUACAUUGAGUCCUGUUUCCUGGAUAAAUUUAGAUCAGUCAAAGCAUCUCAGCAUAUCUGGAAUGCUGGCUAAUAUCCAACUUGGGGAGGUCAGAGUCACCUUUUGGACAUUAUUCAAUGCCUAGACUAAGUAUUCCCAAGGCCACUAGCUUUCCUGAGUGAUGCAAACCCAUGAUGGAA